rnacentral:misc_RNA from 1 species
GAUGAAGAACGUAGCGAAAUGCGAUAAGUAAUGUGAAUUACAGAAUUCAGUGAAUCAUCGAAUCUUUGAACGCACAUUGCGCCCGCCAGUAUUCUGGCGGGCAUGCCUGUUCGAGCGUCAUUACAACCCUCAGGCCCCCGGGCCUGGCGUUGGGGAUCGGCGGAGCCCCCCGUGGGCACACGCCGUCCCCCAAAUGCAGUGGCGGUCCCGCCGCAGCUUCCAUCGCGUAGUAGCUAACACCUCGCGACUGGAGAGCGGCGCGGCCACGCCGUAAAACACCCAACUCUUCUGAAGUUGACCUCGAAUCAGGUAGGAAUACCCGCUGAACUUAAGCAUAUCAAUAAGCGGAGGA